rnacentral:SRP_RNA from 1 species
GCCAGGUGUGGUGGCGCACACCUGUGGUCCCAGCUACUCGGGAGGCUGAGGCAGGAGAAUUGCUUGAACCUGGGAGGCACGAGGUUGCAGUGAGUCAAGAUCACGCCACUGCACUCCAGCCUGGGCAACAGAGCAAGACUCUGUCUCAA